rnacentral:rRNA from 1 species
CCUACGGGCGGCAGCAGUGGGGCAUAUUGCACAAUGGGCGAAAGCCUGAUGCAGCAACGCCGCGUGAAGGACGAAGGGUUUCGGCUCGUAAACUUCUAUCAACCGGGACGACAGAAAUGACGGUACCUGCAUUAGAAGCCCCGGCUAACUACGUGCCAGCAGCCGCGGUAAUACGGAGGGGGCCAGCGUUAUCCGGAAUUACUGGGUGUAAAGGGUGAGUAGGCGGGAUGGUAAGCCAGAUGUGAAAGCCUUGGGCUUAACCCGAGGAUUGCAGUUGGAACUAUCAAGCUAGAGUACAGGAGAGGAAAGCGGAAUGCCUAGUGUAGCGGUGAAAUGCGUAGAUAUUAGGAAGAACACCAGGGGCGAAGGCGGCUUUCUGGACUGAAACUGACGCUGAGGCACGAAAGCGUGGGGAGCGAACAGGAUUAGAUACCCUGGUAGUC